UACGAAGGGGGCGAGCGUUGUUCGGAUUUACUGGGCGUAAAGGGCGCGUAGGCGGCCACCGCAAGUCGGUUGUGAAAUCUCCGGGCUUAACCCGGAAAGGUCAAUCGAUACUGCGGGGCUAGAGUGCAGAAGGGGCAACUGGAAUUCUCGGUGUAGCGGUGAAAUGCGUAGAUAUCGAGAGGAACACCUGCGGCGAAGGCGGGUUGCUGGGCUGACACUGACGCUGAAGCGCGAAAGCUAGGGGAGCGAACGGG
rnacentral:rRNA from 1 species